UUCUUGGAGAGUUUGAUCCUGGCUCAGGACGAACGCUGGCGGCGUGCCUAAUACAUGCAAGUCGAGCGAAUCGAUAGGAGCUUGCUCCUGUUGGUUAGCGGCGGACGGGUGAGUAACACGUGGGCAACCUGCCUGUAAGACUGGGAUAACUUCGGGAAACCGGAGCU
rnacentral:ncRNA from 1 species